UGGCUCAGUGGGUAGAGCAUGGUGUUUGUAACGCCAUGGUUGUGGGUUCGAUUCCCAU
rnacentral:tRNA from 1 species